UAAUAAAACAUGCUUUUUCAUAUCACAUAUGCCGAUCCUUAUUUUAUGAAAAAUUAUGAUUUCAUCAAUAGCAAUUCUUUACAUAAAAAUAUGAUCAUUUAAAAAUAAAUAAGGAGCAUAAGAUUCACUUACAUCGUUCAUCUUAGAUCUUCAGACUUCGUUAGAAGAAUCAGCUAAUCCUAUUUAAAAUAUCAAAUCAUUAUCAAAUUCUAUUCCAUAAAUAUAACAAGAUUAAAUCAUAAAGAAAGAGGACUGUUGUCCGGAUAUGUCGGACCAUCCAGAUACCAGAGCAAUUCAGGGUCUCUGAUCUGAGGGUCAGAUUUAAGUGACUUGAUCAAAAAAUCGUGAAGCACAGAUCGAAUUAAGAUCAAGAUCAAUCAACAGGGUUCUUUAAUAAUGGGUUUGAAAAAUAUUUGAUAUGGCCAAAUGAAGUUGACAUACAGCACGGAUAUCAAAGCAACUUCAGAUCAUCUUGUUAGAGUCAAUAUGAGCCCCUAAAAGAUGAAGGCAUGACUCGAUACAAGAUUCAUAGUCCUUCUUAGAGAGAGAAAGUCAAUCAUGAGAGAGAAAGUAGAGAGAGAAAGUGGAGAGAGAAUCUUCG
rnacentral:lncRNA from 1 species